AAUCCAAACAACUCUAUGAUUCUACCUUUGAUAUACCUGUCUGGGCAAACAGGGAAGUUUGUCACUCUCACCAGUUGUGGGAGCCUACAAUUGGAGCAUCUGUCUCCGUCUGUGACGUGGGAGAACCAGGAGACAUCUCAUCUCCCUUAUGAGUCCCACACUGAUGAGGUGUCCUGACAGCCAGCACAGAGGGCAGGGGGACUGUAUGGACCUCCAGAGCAGUGGCAUUUAAACUGGAACUGAAAUACCAACCAUGACAUCCCAAAACAAGGUAAAGGCUUAGUGGCAUGCUGGAUAAAAGCACAAAAGAGUCAUAUGGAAAUGUGGCUUUACAUCAAGGCCAUUUAAUUACACUUUCCAAAUGAAGAAAAUAUUUCAUCUUUUGGGGAUUUAAUGGGGUUUGUGACAGCUCACCAGGAGGAGGAACUGUGUGAGAUCUUCAAAAGGCACCUUGAACAAGCCUCAAAGCCACAGGAAAUGGUUCUUGGGGGGGACUUGAACUACCCUGACAUCUGUUGGAAAAGCAACACAGUGAAGCACAUACAGUGCAGGAGGUUCCUGGAAAACUCUGAUCACAACUUUCUGUCUCAGGCCGUGGAGGCUCCCACAAGGAAUGCAGUUUCACCUUGGAGGGAGGUUAAAGGAGAGGGCUGUCAAAGGGACCAUUUUCCCUGCCUACCCCUCAGCAGAAGCCAAACCUGAGGCUGAUGCUCAGCAGGUUCCUUCUUUCUGCUCCAAGGAGCUGAACCAAUGGCACCUCCUACCUGCAAACAAAACCGCCCAGGGCAGCCUGAACUUGGGUGGUGAAUCUCUUCCCUCUUGGACAGAUUUACCUUACAAAUAAAAUACUGUAAAAUCCCCAAAAUA